UGCGUCGCCCUUCCUGCUAUCCGAUUGCUUUAUGCGACCUGAUUUCAGUAUUGCACGUGCUCCCGCUUUACUAGUGUGAUGGUACACUGUUGUUUCAGAUUUAUUACGUGCCAUGGUUGAUUAAAGUGAAACUUCGCCUACUGUUUUAGCUCAAUCCACUUACAAUUCAAGUCCCUAAUGAUUA